AGGGGUAUCGCCAAGCGGUAAGGCAGCGGGUUUUGAUCCCGCCAUUCGGAGGUUCGAAUCCUUCUACCCCUG
rnacentral:tRNA from 1 species